AUCCUCUUUUUGUUUUCUACAGUACAGCUCAAGAUUUUUGCAAAUAUAUAUAUUUGCUCUGCAUACUCAGAAUGGAAUCUCACAUCAAUUUGAUAUUCUUUGGGAAUCUGGAGUGCGAAAAGGGAGAAAAGAUGGAUUUUUCACCUUCUUGUAGCCUUCCGUCAGCUGCAGCAGCUCCACCAGGAAAGAUGGUUUUGACAUAGAUUCCUAUUGGCCCAUAAAUGCUGUCUUUUCCUCCAACAAUACUGAAGCCCAAGCCCUAAUUUAUGGAAGAAAAAUAAUAUGUGAGAGCCUAUGUUUAGUUUUCAUAUCCCAUUUGCAGUAUCAUCAGCAUCAGCUACAUGGACAAUACUAGUAAACAAAAUAGUAUAAUCUGUGAAAAACAGGCAACCAAAUGCCAGUAGUAAAAGCAAAUGAAAAUUUCAGCUGAAUACUCUCAUGAUUCACUUGCAAUCAAUUAAUUCCCCAUUAUAAACACAUAAGAAAGCUUCUAUGUUUCAUUUUGCCCCUGGGCCAAUAUGUGACCUUGAGAGAUCCAUUUACCUGUUUUCUUGAUUUCUUUUCCCAUAAAUGAAACUGAUAAAACAGCCACAGAAGAUCUUGAUCUUACAACUAACUUUAGAUACUCAGAUCUUGUGGAAAUAUCUUUCUCUUAUCCUCUACCAAAACAGUUAAUGUGUGUUGUAAGUUUAAGCAAUGACUGUAGAUCCUUGUAAGUAGAUGCUUGUCUUUGAUUAUUUUUUUGUCUUUCCUCCUUAUAUAAAAGGUCAAACUAUCUACUACUCUCAGAAGGAUGUUGUGAGACUAAUUCAUACCUCUGGGGCCAUUUAACAUCCCUUAAAUGAGAAAUGAAAGUACAGUGCUGAUGAUGUCCUUCUGUGCGCACAAAAUUCAGACAGUGAUUUCCCAUAGCACUUACCGGGGUUCUCCCUCCAGAGCAGUCCAGCUGUUGGGAAAGUGAUUUCCGAUUGGUAUGGAGGGCAUGGG